rnacentral:misc_RNA from 1 species
GAUGAAGAACGCAGCGAAAUGCGAUACGUAAUGUGAAUUGCAGAAUUCAGUGAAUCAUCGAGUCUUUGAACGCGCAUUGCGGCCCCUGGUAUUCCGGGGGGCAUGCCUGUCCGAGCGUCAUUGCUGCCCUCAAGCACGGCUUGUGUGUUGGGCCUCCGUCCUCCUCCCGGGGGACGGGCCCGAAAGGCAGCGGCGGCACCGCGUCCGGUCCUCGAGCGUAUGGGGCUUCGUCACCCGCUCUUGUAGGCCCGGCCGGCGCUUGCCGACACAUCAAUCUUUUUUCCAGGUUGACCUCGGAUCAGGUAGGGAUACCCGCUGAACUUAAGCAUAUCAAUAAGCGGAGGA